rnacentral:rRNA from 1 species
AGACGUUGGCGGGAGCCCCAAGAAGAGUUCUCUUUUCUUCUUAACAGUCUGUCACCCUGAAAUCGGUUUGUCCGGAGCUAGGGUUCAAUGGCUGGAAGAGCGCUGCACUUUUGCGGCGUUUGGUGCGCUCCCGACGACCCUUGAAAAUCCGCUUGAAGAAAUAGUUUUCACGCCAGGUCGUACUCAUAACCGCAGCAGGUCUCCAAGGUGAACAGCCUCUAGUUGAUAGAACAAUGUAG